AGACUUAUAAAACAUGGUGGAGGUUAUCCUCACAGUAUCAUGUCCAAAUGCCGUCACAACAGAACGGAGUGCUGCUGCCGAGACUACAAUCAGCCGCCGCCGCCGCCGGCGUCGCCGCCAAGAGAUCUCGUGCUUGUGCACAACAACGCUGGUGCAUGAAGUCGAUGCAUGUUUUGAUGAACCUGCAGUCGGAGCAUCCGAUGAAAAUCAAAUAAAUUUGUUUUAGCUUCAUACAUACUCCAAGCAAACAAAUGUUGUACUUUGAACGACCAUGUUCUGUUCGACACCUGAUUAACAAUACUUCCGUAGAACUUCCUCGUAUGAAGUUAGUAGGCCUCUCGGGCUUCUCGCGGCCCGUGUUGCUCCCUGCCGGCAACGUUGGAGCGAAACCCUACCUACUGGCUAGGCUCCCCUCCACACCGGUCCCCAAUCACAGCCGUUGGUCUACGCUGCCGAGCAAAGACCGCAUGGCAUUGGCUCGGCGCAAGGUGUGCGGCACUCCCACCCCCACCCUCAUGGCGUUGCCUCAGAUGAUAGGUGUGGAGUCACUGAUCUUUUAGUUUCUGCUGCGAUCAUACCCAAGCCCUUAUUUCCGGAGAUGCUUUCGCUUCGACGUUUCACCACUUGGUUGAAAACGACCUAUGGGCAUUCGGGCUCUUGACGCGUGCAUUUCUUUGGGAUGUGGCGUGGUAGAAAUUAUGUGUGGCUGCAGACUCUCAAUCAAUAUUUUCUUAACGUGGGUAGCGAUCUUCUUGGUGCGGUUAGCCAUUAUAGGUGUUUGUGGGCCAGCACUGCUGUUGACUUGGGGGCCUAAGAUUUCUUCGGAUGUCUAUGUGCGUUAUUGGUCGCCGCCGCGUGAUUGGUCGCCCGCGUGUACGUCUUCCCAGGAUCCACGUGCAGUUAUGGAGCAAUCAUACGCGAAAUCUUAAAUCAUUCAGCCUCAUUUGAAUUUUGUACUUUUAGUCAUGAAUUUAGGAUCUCAAACUUCGAAGCUCACAAUCUUACAAAGCAUGCACUCUCUCUUGGAGGUGGCCGCCAUGUCUGGUUAGACCAUCCCGGAGAUCUUCUAUCCGUUCCUGUAAACAUUGUGACGACUUAAUAAAGCUUUGCAAGUUUAUUUAAAAAAAAGUUGCGAUCGCUGUCAUAAUCGGUGCCCCUUAAUGCGUUUAGUCCAGAAAGCUGCCGCUGCAUGAGGCUUCAUGCAUGGUCGGUUGCAUGCAUGAACGGCCUGCGGUGUUCUUUCUGCUGAUGGCGCGUGACACGGUUUGUUGGGAUGUUUGACCGCGUGACUCCGACGCCACCGCUCCACCAUCGUACAUGACUAUAAAGCUCUCCUCCUCCUCCUGUCUCGCCUGGCCAGCCCUGCCCACCCCACCAUCGAGCUCGGUUUCCCUGUCCGGCGUGGCCCCGUCUUGCUCUCCUGGAGCGACGGCGGCGGCGUCGUCCGGUCGUCCACGUCCAAUGUCCUUUUCUGCCGCGGCCCUUCCCAUGCCGGCCUCGGACAUAGCGACCAGGUCCUUUGCACUGGCGGGCGGCGGCGGCUCGAGCCCAAGAGGACAUCUCAAGAGACACAACCUUGGAGCGGCGCAGCGUGUCGCAGGCUCACAGCGCCGUGGCUCGGAACACGGCAACGAUGGCGUGGUUGUGCUCGGUGGCGUUCAGGCCUUGAAGGUGAGGUAGCACGCGAGCGGCUCCUCGAGGCCCUCGCCGACGCCCGGAUGUCGUCGUCCGCCGCGAUCAUCUCCGCCAUGCUCGCCGGGAAGUCUGGGUCCCCCGACUCCUUUUCCAUGACGAGGCUCUCCUACAGCCAGGGCCGGCGCCUCGCGCGUCGCCUCUAGCUUGUCAUUUGGAAGAUCACGCACUUGUGUGCCAUGCUAAUAAAAAGUACAUGCUUUUGUUCCGCAGAUCUAAAUGUGAUGAGAACCAACGAUCAGCCAAACCCUCUGACAUAUCACAGAACCAAGACGGCGUCACUAGCUCUGCGACGGCCGUCGGCACGCACCGUCUCUUCCGUGCACAGUACGCAUUAAAUAAACCGCCGUACACGCACUGAAAAACUGCACGCGUCCAACAUCCCGAAGUGAAGCAACGUCUCACGAUUCAGUGAGCAGGCGAGCCCGUCCACGCCCAUGAAUUUUCGGUAGGUUGUUCUACUUUUAUGUACCGUCGCCUGUGGAGGAACUUGCCUGGUUUAAUCGUGUGAACUCUUGUAUAUUACUCCCUCCGUCCCAUAAUAUAAGAGAGUUUUUGACACGCUCAUAUAUUAUGGGACAGAGGAGUAGUAUCUAAGAUAAGCAGACAUUAGUCAACGUGCAUACCUCUAGCAAUGGAAGUCACUUAUGUUGAUGCUUGCUUCUGUCAUGUGUUAGGAGUCUAUCAGUUUAAUUACCAUUGUUGUAAUGACAUGUUUAAUGUUUUGUUAUUGCCAGUUCAUUUUGAUGUACUGCUGAUCCUGAGAUGUCAGUUCAUUUGAUCACAAACAUGUUUGCUUUCAUGUGUACUACUGCUUGAUGAUUAUUACACGAGAAACACUCACGCCAAAUAAUUAAGUCACACUACUACAUGACCCUUUAACACCACCUCCGAUGCUUUCAGCAACUUGAGAAGUGUCUCCUGCUUGGUGCAUACAAUUAUAUAUAUUUCAGUGGUGGCAAGUUUGUCCCCAAUGAUUUUGUAUGGUUAUUAUUUUUAACCAGUUGGAUUCCAGGAAAGCAAAACCAAAAUACACAAAGGAGGCCGUUCUCGUUGGUACGACAAGUCAAAAGAGUGUUCUGCUUAAGAAUUGAACAUAUAAACGACGCUGCGCUACCCGCCAUUCUAGCACACCUGAGCGAAAUAGCAAUUUUUGACCGCUCGAUGAAUUUACUGUGCGUGUUUUUACCCUGGUGGCAGGCUGGCAGCUGGUCAGCCGCCGGUCGCUUUUGCACACGUAACCUCCUUCUUGAGCUGGAUGACUGAUGGGGUCGUUCGCCUAUGGGAACAGGGAGCAGAGGCUGGAUUCUCUCGGGGCUGUGUAGGCGACUGCUGAAUGUGUGCAAUGUAUUUAUUUGGUCCUGUGUUGUGUUUCGCUCAUGUGCCGCAAAGAGUAUUUAACUUGACAGAAUCGUGGAUUCGUUUUUGAAAGCAAGUCCAGUACUGGAUCCUCAGUUAAAAUUUCCCACGAUUUACAGUAUAUAUAUCGUGGUUGUGUUUCGUUUCAGUUUAGAAAUAUAAUUUUUAUCUGGUGAAUACCAUAUAUUUAGAUCAUUAAUACGUGAUCGUGAAGCAUUGAUAUUCACUUUAUAUGGAAAAUAUNNNNNNNNNNNNNNNNNNNNNNNNNNNNNNNNNNNNNNNNNNNNNNNNNNNNNNNNNNNNNNNNNNNNNNNNNNNNNNNNNNNNNNNNNNNNNNNNNNNNNNNNNNNNNNNNNNNNNNNNNNNNNNNNNNNNNNNNNNNNNNNNNNNNNNNNNNNNNNNNNNNNNNNNNNNNNNNNNNNNNNNNNNNNNNNNNNNNNNNNNNNNNNNNNNNNNNNNNNNNNNNNNNNNNNNNNNNNNNNNNNNNNNNNNNNNNNNNNNNNNNNNNNNNNNNNNNNNNNNNNNNNNNNNNNNNNNNNNNNNNNNNNNNNNNNNNNNNNNNNNNNNNNNNNNNNNNNNNNNNNNNNNNNNNNNNNNNNNNNNNNNNNNNNNNNNNNNNNNNUAUGCCAGUGUUUUUUUUUUUGAGAAAAACUGCCAGCCGUUGGGAUAAAGAGCAGGAUUACAACCCAUUCACGGCCUUGACCUAGUGGGCCUGUUGGCCAACCCAUUCGAUUUGGUUGCCUGCUGAGUACUUGACUGCAAUUCAGCUACGCCCUCUACUAUCUGAACUUCUUGAGGCAUUUCAGCAACAGUAACUGCUUCAGACCCAGUGGGCCUGAUGCAUUAGUACUGAUGACUGUCUAGUUCUGGAUCAACCGUUGUAGUUUCUAUUGAUUUGAAUUAGACAGAAUUCUGUUUCAUGUUUCGGAUUUGCCACUUCUAGCUAAAAGUUGCCAAGCACUACGAAAAAAACAUAUCCAUGAUGAUGCGCGUUUGUCACAGUAGGUCACGUUUUCUAUCACGCAUGUACAUACAUAAUGAUUUUACGACAGAAUUAAGACAGUCAUACCCUGCCUAAUGCGGCAUGCCCUAAUGCAAACAUUCCCAGUACAAAAGUCAUGGUGAAUUUCGGCCUCUCCCCACUCGAUAGGGUUUCAGCCACCCCCGCGUGCCACCCUGCUCAACAUUCAUCACCCCGCCGGCACCAUGCUCGUCUUCGGUGGCUUGAGCUAUCACCACCCGAACUAGGCUCUCUGCAUCUUCCCGAGUUCAUUUGUAGUGCUUUUGAAUUUCAGGGUCAUUUAGUGAUACCUCCAUUUUGCAUCAUACUUUUAUAUCGAUAUUUAUUGCAUUAUGAGCUGUUAUUUCACAUUAUGUCACAAUACUUAUGGCUAUUCUCUCUUAUUUUACAAGGUUUACACAAGGAGGGAGAAUGAUGGCAGCUGGAAUUCUGGGCUGGAAAAGGAGCAAAUAUUAGAGACCUAUUCUGCACAACUCCAAAAGUCCUGAAACUCCACGGGAUACCUUAUAAUAAAUAAUGAAAAAUCCUCGCCAAAGAUGAAGACCAGGGGGGCCACACCCUGUUCACGAGGGUGGGCCCCCCCCCUCCUAAGGCGCGCCCCCUAUCUCGUGGGCCCCUUGGUGGCUCUCCGAUGACCAUCUUCUCCUAUAUGAAGUCUUUCGUCGAGAAAAAAAAUAGGAAGCAACCUUUCGGGACGAAACUCCGCCGCCACGAGGUGGAACCUUGGCGGAUCCAAUCAAGAGCUUCGGCAGAGCUGUUCUGCCGGGGAAACUUCCCUCCCGGAGGAGGAAAUCAUCGCCACCAUCAUCACCAACGCUCCUCUCAUCGGGAGAGGGCAAUCUCCAUCAACAUCUUCAUCAGCACCAUCUCAUCUCAAAAUCCUAGUUCAUCUCUUGUACCCAAUUCUUGUCUCCAAGUCCGGGAUCGGUUCUAGUAGGUUGCUAGUAGUGUUAAUUACUCCUUGUAGUUGAUGCUAGUUGGUUUAAUUGGUGGAAGAUCAUAUGUUCAGAUCCUAUAUGCAUAUUAAUACCCCUCUGAUUAUGAACAUGUUUAUGCUUUGUGAGUAGUUAGGUUUGUUCCUGAGGACAAGGGAGAAGUCUUGCUAUUAGUAGUCAUGUGAAUUUGGUAUUCGUUCGAUAUUUUGAUAAGAUGUAUGUUGUCUAGCCUCAGCUUUCUGAUAACAAUCGCACCAUGCUUGAUACUUCUUGUGCUGGCUCUUCUAUGAUAAAGACUAUUGUACUCAAAUGGGAUUUAUUGGAUAGAAUUAAACGCAACUAUGAAGAUUGGGACCUCGACAAUGGUAAUGAGUCAGGUAUGACACCUAAGUUUGAUUGUGUUAAAUCUUUUAUGGAUACCGAUAUUUUCCGUAAGUUUAGCACUAAAUAUGGACUUGAUUCUGAGAUAGUAGCUUCUUUCUGUGAAUCUUUUGGUACUUAUGUUGAUCUCCCUAAGGAGAAGUGGUUUAAAUAUCAUCCUCCCAUAGAAGUAAAAGUAGUUGCACCUAUUAAAGUUGAAGAAAAGACUAUCACUUAUAAUGAUCCUAUUGUUCCUACUUCUUAUGUUGAGAAACCACCUUUCCCUGUUAGAAUAAAGGAUCAUGCUAAAGCUUCAACUGUGCUUCGUAAAAGCAAUAUUAAAACAUAUACACCUCCUGAGCAAGUUAAAGUUGAACCUAAUAUUGCUAUUGUUAAAGAGCUCUUGUCUGAUAAUAUUGAUGGGCAUGUUAUUCAGUUCUGCGGUGAAACUGCUAGAUUGCUAAACCUUGUGUUAAUGAUAAACAUAGACCUGUGGUAGGCGUGCCUAUUAUUUCUGUUAAAAUAGGAGAUCAUUGUUAUCAUGGCUUAUGUGAUAUGGGUGCUAGUGCUAGUGUUAUACCUUAUGACUUGUAUAAGAAAUCGAGCAUGACAUUGCACCUGCUGAGAUAGAAGAUAUUGAUGUCACAAUUAAACUUGCUAAUAGAGAUACUAUUUCAGCAAUGGGAAUUGAAAGAGAUGUUGAAGCCUUGUGCGGGAAAACUAAAUAUCCUGCUGAUUUUCUUGUUCUUAGUUCCCCACAAGAUAGCUUUUGUCCCAUUAUAUUUGGUAGACCCUUCUUGAAUACAGUUAAUGCUAGGAUAGACCGCGAAAAGAAUGUUAUUACUAUUAGCUUGGAUGAUAUGACUCAUGAAUUUAAUUUCUCUAAAUUUAGUAAACAACACCGUGCAGAAGAAUUGCCUAGUAAGGAUGAAAUUAUUGGUCUUGCUUCUAUUGCCGUACCUCCUAGUGAUCCUUUAGAACAAUAUUUGCUAGACCAUGAGAAUGAUAUGUUUAUGAAUGAAAGAAGGGAAAUAGAUGAAGUAUUCUUUAAACAGGAACCUAUGCUGAAACACAAUUUGCCUGUUGAAAUCCUAGGGGAUCCUCCACCACCUAAGGGUGAUCCUGUGUUUGAGCUUAAACCGUUGCCUGAUAAUCUUAAAUAUGCUGUUAUUAUUAGUGCUACCCUUUCAGAGCAUGAAGAAGAAAGAUUAUUGAAAACUCUGUAGAAGCACCGUGCUGCUAUUGGAUAUACUCUUGAUGAUCUUAAGGGCAUUAGUCCCACUCUAUGUCAACAUAAAAUAAAUUUGGAAGUAGAUGCCAAACCAGUUCGUGAUCCUCAACGAUGUCUGAAUCCUAAAAUGAAAGAAGUGGUAAGAAAAGAAAUACUAAAGCUUCUGGAGGCAAGUAUAAUUUAUCCCGUUGCUGAUAGUCAGUGCGUAAGUCCUAUUCAUUGUGUCCCUAAGAAGGGAGGUAUUACUGUUGUUCCUAAUGAUAAAGAUGAAUUGAUUUCACAAAGAAUUAUUACAGGUUAUAGGAUGGUAAUUGAUUUCCGCAAAUUAAAUAAGGCUACUAAGAAAGAUCAUUACCCCUUACCUUAGAAAGAUUAUGCAAACAUACACAUUACUGCUUUCUAGAUGGUUAUUCUGGUUUCUCUCAAAUACCUGUGUCGGCUAAAGAUCAAUCAAAGACUACUUUUACAUGCCCUUUUGGUACUUUUGCUUAUAGACGUAUGCCUUUUGGUUUAUGUAAUGCACCUGCUACCUUUCAAAGAUGCAUGAAGGCUAUAUUCUCUGACUUUUGUGAAAAGAUUUGUGAGGUUUUCAUGGACGACUUUUCCGUCUAUGGCUCUUCUUUUGAUGAUUGCUUGAGCAAUCUUGAUCGAGUUUUGCAGAGAUGUGAAGAAACUAAUCUUGUCUUGAAUUGGGAAAAGUGCCACUUUAUGGUAAAUGAAGGUAUUGUGUGGGGGCAUAAAGUUUCUGAAAGAGGUAUUGAAGUUGAUAAAGCCAAGGUUGAUGCUAUUGAAAAGAUGCCAUGUCCUAAGGACAUCAAAGGUAUAAGAAGUUUCCUUGGUCACGCCGGAUUUUAUAGGAGGUUCAUUAAGGACUUCUCAAAAAUUUCUCGGCCUCUGACUAAUUUAUUACAAAAAGAUAUACCAUUUGUCUUUGAUGAUGAUUGUGUAGAAGCAUUUGAAAUACUUAAGAAAGCAUUAGUCUCUGCACCUAUUGUUCGGCCACCCGAUUGGAAUUUACCCUUUGAAAUUAUGUGUGAUGCUAGUGAUUAUGCUAUAGGUGUUGUUCUAGGGCAAAGAGUUGAUAAAAAUUUAAAUGUUAUCCAUUAUGCUAGUAAGACUCUAGACAAUGCUCAAAGAAAUUAUGCUACUACUGAAAAAUAACUUUUAGCAGUUGUAUUUGCUUGUGAUAAGUUCAGACCUUAUAUUGUUGAUUCUAAAGUAACUAUCCACACUGAUCAUGCUGCUAUUAAAUAUCUUAUGGAGAAGAAAGAUGCUAAACCUAGACUUAUUAGAUGGGUUCUCUUGCUACAAGAAUUUGAUUUGCAUAUUGUUGAUAGAAAAGGAGCUGAGAACCCCGUUGCAGACAACUUAUCUAGGUUAGAGAAUGUUCUUUAUGACCCACUACCUAUUGAUGAUAGCUUUCCUGAUGAACAAUUAAAUGUCAUAAGUACUUCUCGUAGUACCCCUUGGUAUGCUGAUUAUGCUAAUUACAUAGGUGCUAAAUUUAUACCACCUAGCUUCAGAUACCAACAAAAGAAAAAGUUCUUCUAUGAGACAUUACUUUCGGGAUGACCCACAUCUUUAUAAAGAAUGAGUAGAUGGUGUUAUUAGACGUUUUGUACAUGAGCAUGAACAGGAACAGAUCCUACGCAAGUGCCACUCCGAAACUUAUGGAGGACACCACGCGGGAGAUAGAACUGCACAUAAGGUAUUGCAAUCUCGUUUUUAUUGGCCUACUCUCUUCAAGGAUGCCCGUAAGUUUGUCCUAUCCAUUGAUGAAUGUCAAAGAAUUGGUAAUAUUAGUAGACGUCAAGAAAUGCCUAUGAACUAUUCACUUGUUAUUGAACCAUUUGAUGUUUAGGGCUUUGAUUAUAUGGGACCUUUUCCUGCCUCUAAUGGAUAUACACAUAUUUGAUUACGUUACUAAGUGGGUAGAAGCUAUUCCAACUAGUAGUGCUGAUCAUAACACUUCUAUUAAAAUGCUUAAAGAAGUUAUUUUUCCGAGGUUUGGAGUCCCUAGAUAUUUAAUGACUGAUGGUGGUUCUCAUUUUAUUCAUGGUGCUUUCAAUAAAAUGCUUGCUAAAUAUGACGUCAAUCAUAGAAUUGCAUCUCUGUAUCACCCACAGUCUAGUGGUCAAGUAGAAUUGAGUAAUAGAGAACUCAAAUUAAUUUUGUAAAAGACUGUCAAUAGAUCUAGAAAGAAUUGCUCCAAGAAACUUGAUGAUGCAUUAUGGGCCUAUAUAACUGCAUAUAAAAAUCCUAUGGGUAUGUCUCCGUAUAAAAUGGUAUAUGGAAAAGCAUGUCACUUACCUCUCAAACUAGAACAUAAGGCUUAUUGGGCUAUUAAAUAGCUCAAUUAUGAUUUCAAACUUGCCGGUGAAAAGAGGUUAUUUGAUAUUAGCUCACUUGAUGAAUGGAGAACCCAAGCUUAUGAAAAUGCGAAGUUGUUUAAAGAGAAGGUUAAAAGAUGGCAUGACAAAAGGAUACAAAAGCGUGAGUUUAAUGUAGGUGAUUACGUAUUGCUAUACAACUCUCGUUUAAGAUUUUUUGCAGGAAAACCACUCUCUAAAUGGGAAGGCCCCUAUGUUAUCGAGGAGGUCUAUCGCUCCGGUGCCAUAAAAAUCAACAACUUUGAAGGCACAAAUCCGAAGGUGGUAAAUGGUCAGAGAAUUAAACAUUAUAUCUCAAGUAAUCCCAUAAAUGUUGAAACCGAUAUUGUUGAAACCAUAACCCCGGAGGAAUACAUAAGGGACACUUUCCAGAACGUUUCAGACUCCGAAAAGGAAUAGGUAUGUGGUAUGAUAGGUAAACCGACUCCAAAACAAUUUUUAAGGCAACAUUUCUCCGUUUUGGAAUAUUUAGAAAAAUAGAAAAUUAAGUAGCAGUCCGGGAAGGACACGAGGGCCCCACGAGGGUGGAGGGCGCGCCCUACCCCCCUGGGCACGCCCCUACCUCGUGAGCUCCUCGUGUGCCUUCCGGACUCUGUUUUCUUGCACGAUACGUAUUUUGGUCGGUAAAAAUUCAUUAUAUAAUCUCCCGGGGGUUUUGACUCCCGUAUCACACAAAAAUCUCCUGUUUUUGUUUUGAGCUGUUUUUCUGACAGAUCUAGAUUAUCAUGACGUCCCCAAGUGCUUCCAAGGACAAGUUCUUCGAGAAGAUCAUCAACCCUUACCUCGCGGAGGUGCUGCGACACCCUCAAACCAUUGAGAUGCGUGAUGGGUUGCUGCACAUCCGCGAUGUUGAGGGACCAAAGGGAACCGGAAGCGUGGAGAUGAGGCUUGAAGCAAUGGAGCAACAAAUUUUCAAGUGUCAGGGGAUGGUGGACCGUGGAAUCAACGCUAGCCACACGAUGCUCGCGGAGUUCAGUAACAACUACAAGUCGGAUGCCAGGAACACCGAGGAGGCCACCUUCAAGCUAUAUGAGAAGAUCGAGCACCUCCAAGCCCAAAUCUAUGACCUGCAAAACCAAAACUGUGAGUAUGAAUUUAGAUUCAAAGGAAUGAGUUUGGCUGCAGAUUCGAGGAUUUCGGAGACUGAUCAUCCUUCUAUGAUGGUGAACCUAUGCCUUGGAAGAUGGAUGACAAGCCUGCAUCAUCAACAACACCUCCACCUUCUUCACCAACCAAGGAGAUAUAAUAACAUGGGUAUGGGCACUCCCCUUGGCAAUCGCCAAGCUUGGGGGAGGUGCCCCGGUAUCGUAUCACAAUCACAACUCCUAUCUUUACCGUUUUCCUUAGUUUGAUCUUAUUAGUAGUAUUUUGAUCUAGUAGAAUAAAGUUUAUGGCAUGAUCUAGUUUUAAGUUUGCUUUAUGAUCUCUCUAUAUAAUCGAGUCCGUGAGCUAUGUAAUAAAGAUUAGUGUUGAGUCAAGGGCUUGAUUUUCUUGCUAUGAUCUUGGGUGAAUAAAAGAAAAGAGAAAAAGAAAAAAAGAAAAAAAAAGUUCAUAUUGAUCUUAUUAAUAGUAAUGACUUCACAUAGAAAGAGUGUGAUUAUUAAAAGUUGUUGGGAGUUGGCAGACAUAGCUUUGGUCAUCAUUGCAAUUAAUAGGAAGUAAUAAGGAAAGAGAGGUUUCACAUAUAAAUAUACUAUUAUUGACAUCUUUUAUGAUUGGGAACACUCAUCAAAAUAUGACAUGCUAAAGAGUUGAUGUUGGACAAGGAAGACAACGUAAUGGGUUAUGUUUUCUUAUAUCUGAGAUAAAGUAUGUUGUCAUGGAUCAUCCAACAUGUUGAGAUUGCCUUUCCCCCUCAUGCUAGCCAAAUUCUCAGCACCAAGUAGAGAUACUACUUGUGCUUCCAAAUACCCUUAAACCAGUUUUGCCAUGAGAGUCCACCAUAUCUACCUAUGGAUUGAAUAAGACCCUUCAAGUAAGUUGUCAUUGGUGCAAAGCAAUAAAAAUUGCUCUCUAAAUAUGUAUGAUUGAUUGGUGUGGGAGAAAUAAGCUUUAUAAGAUCUUGUGAUGUGGAAGUAAUAAAAGCGACGGACUGCAUAAUAAAGGUUCAUAUCACAAGGGGCAAUAUAAAGUGACAUUCUUUCGCAUUAAGAUUUUGUACAUCCAACCAUAAAAGCGCAUGGCAACCUCUGCUUCCCUCUGCGAAGGGCCUAUCUUUUAUUAUUAUCUUCUACCUUAUGCAAGAGUCAUGGUGAUCUUCACCUUUCAUUUUUACAUUUUAUCCUUAGGCAAGCACAGUGUGUUGGAAAAGAUCCUGAUAGAUAUAUCUAAUUGGAUGUAGGGGGGCAUGAGUUAUUAUUGUUGACAUUACCCUCGAGGUAACAGGUUGUGGGGCGAAACUAUAAGCCCUUAUCUUUCUCUAUGUCCGAUUAAAACUCUGUAACCACAUGUAUUGCGCGAGUGUUAGCAAUUAUGAAGGACUAGAUGAUAGUUGAGUAUGUGGACUUGCUUUUUAGCUCUGACAUAGACUCUUUCUGAUGUUAUGAUAAAUGGCAAUUCCUUCAAUGACUGAGAUUAUAGUUUGUUGGUUCUCAAUAAGGUUUCUGAUUCAUACUUUUGCUUUGUGAAUAGAUCAUCACUUGAACAUAAGUAACCAUAUGACAAUAUCUAUGUAUGUUGCUGUUAUGAGAAUAAUCAUGAUGCCCUCAUGUCCAUAUUUUAUUUUUAUCGACGCCUCUACCUCUAAACAUGGGAACAUAUUUAUUGUUAUCGGCUUUCGCUUGAGGACAAGCAAGGUCUAAGCUUGGGGGAGUUGAUACGUCCAUUUUGCAUCAUGCUUUUAUAUUAAUAUUUAUUGCAUUAUGGGCUGUUAUUUCACAUUAUGUCACAAUACUUAUGGCUAUUCUCUCUUAUUUUACAAGGUUUACAUAAGGAGGGAGAAUGCCGGCAGCUGGAAUUCUGGGCUGGAAAAGGAGCAAAUAUUAGAGUCCUAUUCUGCACAACUCUAAGAGUCCUGAAACUCCACGAGAUACCUUAUAAUAAAUAAUGAAAAAUCCUCGCCAAAGAUGAAGACCAGGGGGCCCACACCCUGCUCACGAGGGUGGGGGGUGCCCCCCCCCCCUUGGGGCGUGCACCCCUGCCUCGUGGGCCCCCUGGUGGCUCUCCGAUGACCAUCUUCUCCUAUAUGAAGUCUUUCGUCGAGAAAAAAAUAGGAAGCAACCUUUCGGGAGAAAACUCCGCCGCCACGUGGCGGAACCUUGGCGGAUCCAAUCUAGAGCUCCGGCAGAGCUGUUAUGCCGGGGAAAUUUCCCUCCCGGAGGGGGAAAUCAUCGCCACCGUCAUCACCAACGCUCCUCUCAUCGGGAGAGGGCAAUCUCCAUCAACAUCUUCAUCAGCACCAUCUCAUCUCAAAACCAUAGUUCAUCUCUUGUAUCCAAUUCUUGUCUCCAAGUCCGGGAUUGGUGCUAGUAGGUUGCUAGUAGUGUUAAUUACUCCUUGUAGUUGAUGCUAGUUGGUUUAAUUGGUGGAAGAUCAUAUGUUCAGAUCCUAUAUGCAUAUUAAUACCCCUCUGAUUAUGAACAUGUUUAUCCUUUGUGAGUAGUUACGUUUGUUCCUGAGGACAAGGGAGAUGUCUUGCUAUUAGUAGUCAUGUGAAUUUGGUAUCCGUUCGAUAUUUUGAUAAGAUGUAUGUUGUCUAGCCUCUAGUGGUGUUAUGUGAACGUCGACUACAUAACACUUCACCAUUAUUUGGGCCUAUAGGAAGGCAUUGGGAAGUAAUAAGUAGAUGAUGGGUUGCUAGAGUGACAGAAGCUUAAACCCUAGUUUAUGCGUUGCUUCGUAAGGGGCUGAUUUGGAUCCAUAUGUUUCAUGGUAUGGUUAGGUUUACCUAAAUACUUUUGCUGUAGUUGCGGAUGCUUGCAAUAGAGGUUAAUCAUAAGUGGGAUGCUUGUUCAAGUAAGAACAGCACCCAAGCACCGGUCCCCCCACAUGUCAAAUUAUCAAAGUAUCGAACGCGAAUCAUAUGAACGUGAUGAAAACCUGCUUGACGAUAUUCCCAUGUGUCCUCGGGAGCGCUUUUCCUUAUAUAAGAGUUUGUCUAGGCUUGUACUUUUCUACAAAAAGGAUUGGGCCACCUUGCUGCACUUUAUUUACUUUUGUUACUUGUUGCUCGUUCCAAAUUAUCUUAUCGCAAAACUAUCUGUUACCAAUUAUUUCAGUACUUGCAGAGAAUACCUUGCUGAAAACCGUUUAUCAUUUCCUUCUGCUCCUCGUUGGGUUCGACACUCUUACUUAUCGAAAGGACUACGAUAGAUCCCCUAUACUUGUGGGUCAUCAUUUAGCUCCAAAAAAUAGCAAAUUAAGUCCUACAUAAUGCAUGAAAUAUAUUUUUGGACAUAAUAUUUAUUCGGGUUUCAAAUGUCAAAACACAUAAGUACCCUAACUAUUAGAAAGAUUCCCUCCGGUUUGUCCGAAGUGGGACUUUCCAGUUAUAUCUCGUGAGUGGUGACGGUGAUGAAGUUGAAGCCGGUCACAUCCCAGAGUGAGAUCUUGGGGUAUAAAACUUUUUCUUCGCAUGUGUCCCUUUGCUCCGUAACCAUGGACAAUCUUCAUCAUUUAAUAGGAUGCCGGGGUCAAUGUUGACUGUGAAGGGAACAAUUUCAUGAAACUUUUCAUAAUCUUCUGACUUGUCUGUCUUGUCCAUUCCCACGAUGUUCCAUUUCCCUGAAAGAACUAUGUGGCGCUUUGGCUCAUCGUAUGAUGUAUUCGCGUCCUUAUCUUUUCUUUUUCUCGGCUUGGUAGACAUGUCAUUCGCAUAGAAAACCCACGCCACAUCAUUGGCUAGGACGAAUGGUUCAUCUGCGUACCAAAGAUUGUUGAGAUCCACUGUUGUCAUUCUGUACCGCGGGUCUUCCUUUACCCCGCCUCCUGUCAGAUUGGCCCAUUUGUACCUAAACAAAGGGACCUUCAAACCAAGUCCAUAGUCAAGUUCCCAUAUCUCCUCUAUGUAACCAUAAUAUGUGUCCUUUGGCCUAUUGGUGUUUGCUGCAUCAAGUCGGACACCACUGUUUUGGUUGGUGCUCUCUUUAUCUUGGGCGAUUGUGUAAAAUGUAUUCCCAUUUAUCUCGUACCCUUUGAAAGUCAAUAUAGUCGAAGAUGGUAACUUGGCCAGCAAGUACAACUCAUCUGCAACACUCUCAUCAUGCCGUUUGUUCACGUGUACUCCAGUUGUUAGACUACUCCAGGUGUUUGGAGCAUAGAAUAUUCUUGUGUUCCUCGAUAUACGGAGCCACCAAUGCGGAAUUUUGUAGAACUAUGUAGUGUGCUUGCGCCCAAGAAUGCCCGUCCAUACAUAUUACUUGGUCCUUUCCUAGCAUGCCUUUUCCACCAUGUCUGCCCUCAUGCCGCGAUUCGGGAACACCAAUUGGCUUAAGGUCAGGAAUAAAGUCGACACAAAACUCAAUGACCUCCUCUAUUUCAUGGCCCUUGGAGAUGCUUCCUUCCGGCCUAGCAUGUUUAUGAACAUAUUUCUUUAAGACUCGCAUGAACCUCUCAAAGGGGAACAUAUUGUGUAGAAAUACAGGACCCAAAAUGGCAAUAUCUACGACUAGGUGAACUAGGACAUGCGUCAUGAUAUUGAAGAAGGAUGGUGGGAACCCCAACUCGAAACUAAUAAGACAUUGCAACAAAUCAUUCUAUAACCUUGGUAAGAUUUCUGGAUCGAUUACCUUCUGAGAGAUUGCAUUUAGGAAUGCACAUAGCUUCACGAUGGCUAAUCAAACGUUGUCCGGUAGAAGCCCCCUCAAUGCAACUGGAAGCAGUUGUGUCAUAGUCACGUGGCAGUCAUGGGACUUUAGGUUCUGGAACUUUUUCUCUAGCAUAUUUAUUAUUCCCUUUAUAUUCGAUGAGAAGACAGACGAGACCUUCAUACUGAGUAGGCAUUCAAAGAAGAUUUCCUUUUGUUCUUUGGUAACAGCGUAGCUGGCAGGACCCUAACACUACUUUGGAUGCAUGCCGUCUUUUUCGUGCAUAUUUUGCUGGUCCUCCCAUGCCUCCGGUGUAUCUUUUGUCUUCCCAUACACGCCCAAGAAUCCUAGCAGGUUCACACAAAGAUUCUUCGUCACGUGCAUCACGUCGAUUGCAGGGCAGACCUCUAGUUCUUUCCAAUUGAGUAGGUCCCAAAAUAUAGAUUUAUUCUUCCACAUGGGUGCGAGUCCGUCAGCGUCAUUCAGAACAUAUUGUCCGCCAAGACCCUUUCCAAAGAUUAUUUUUAAAUCCUUGACCAUAUCAAGUAUAUCAUCACUAGUACGGUGGCGAGGCUUCGUCCGGUGAUCUUCCUCACCUUUGAAAUGCUUGCCUUUCUUUUUUAAGAGAUGAUUGAUCAUAAGAAAUCGACGAUGUCCCAGGUACACAUUCUUUUUACAUUUAUCCAAAUAUGUAUUUUGGGUGUCAUCUAAACAAUGCGUGCAUGCGUGGUAUCCCUUGUUUGUCUGUCCUGAGAGGUUACUAAGAGCAGGCCAAUCAUUGAUGGUUACAAACAAUAACGCUCGCAGGUCAAAUUCCUGUUGUUUCUGCUCAUCCCACAAACGUAGACCUUUUUUGUCCCACAACUGUAAAAGUUCUUCAACUAAUGGCUUUAGGUACACAUCAAUGUCGUUGCCGGGUUGCUUGGGGCCUUGGAUGAGCACUUCUAUCAUAAUGAACUUCCGCUGCAUGCACGACCAAGGAGGAAGGUUAUAAAUACAUAGAGUCAAUAGGCCAGGUGCUAUGAUUGCUGCUCUACUCCCCAAAAUGAUUAAUGCCAUCUGCACUUAAACCAAAUCAUACGUUCCUUGCGCCAUCUGCAUAGUCCCCCACACUUUCUCAUGAUUUUUCUCCACUGCGAACCAUUAGUGGGUACUCUCAACUUCCCGUCUUUCUUACGGUCUUCUUUGUGCCAUCGCAUGAACUUAGCAUGCUCUUUCUUUUGGAACAAAUGUUUCAACUGUGGUAUUAUAGGAGCAUACCACAUCACCUUCUUCCUGGGUUGCUCGCCCUCAACAUCACCAGGGUCACUUCCACUGAUCUUAUAGUGCAAUGCACCGCAUACCGGGCAUGCGUUCAAAUCCUCAUACUCAUCGCGGUAGAUAAUGCAGUCAUUAGGGCAUGCAUGUAUCUUCUGCACCUCUAAUCCUAGAGGGCAGACAUCCUUCUUUUCUUCAUACGUACUGUAGGGCAAUUCGUUGUCCUUUGGAAGCAUCUUGUUCAACAUUACCAACAACUUUUCAAAUCCCUUGUUAGACACACCAUUCUGCCUUCCAUUGCAACAAUUCCAGUGUGGUACCCAGCUUUUUCUUGUCAUCUUCGCAAUUUGGGUACAACAAUUUCUUGUGAUCCUCUAACAUGCGUUACAACUUUAGCUUCUCCUUUUCACUUGUGCAGUUUCUCUUUGCAUCAGCAAUGGCCCGACCAAGAUCAUCAGCGAGCUCAUAUGUUGCCUCUUCUUCAGCUUUUCCCCCAUUGUUGUACCAUCGUAUUCAGGGAACCUAUGGCCAGGAUAGCUGUCAUCGUCCUCUUCUUCUUCAUUCUCUUCCAUUAGGACCCCUCUUUCUCCGUGCUUGCUCCAAUAGUUAUAGCCGAACAUGAAACCAGAUGUAAACAGGUGGACGUGAAUGGUUCUUGAGUUAGACGAAUUGUGAUCAUUCUUACAGACAACAAAUGGACAACACAUAAAACCAUCCGCCCGCUUGUUUGCCUCAACCGCAACCAGAAAAGUACACACGCCAUUAAUGGACUAGGGAGAGCAUCGGUCAUUGUACAUCCAUCGGUUAUCAUCGGUCAUCGUACACAACACCGAAAAGAGCAAAUUAAUACAAGUUCAUACACACUUAUUCUCAUAAAACAACACGGAAACUUUCUAGCUAAAGCAUUUAAAUACGACAACAAAUGUGAUCAAGAUCGCAACUAAGGUAACAAUUGUUGCAACAACAUAGUGAUACCAAGCCUCUUUAUUAAUGACAUAUUUUCUAAUCUUUCUAAUCCUCAAGCGCAUUGCAUCCAUCUUGAUCUUGUGAUCAUCGACGACAUCGACAACAAACAACUCUAGUAUCAUCUUCUCUUCUCCAAUUCUUUUCAAUAUUCUUUCAAAUACUCUUUUCUUUUUCAACUAAAUUUAACUUCUCGGCAAGAGGGUCGGUUUCCGGUUCACAUACACUAGUAGAAAAAGGGUCAAUCGUGAAGCACAUUAGUGCCGGUUUGUAUUUGAGCCGGCACUAAUGUAUACAUUAGUGCCGGUUCCAACGGCUAGCCGGGCCGCUUUCAUUAGUACCGGUUCAUGGCGAACCUUUAGCACCGGUUCGUGCCACGAACCGGUACUAAUGAAAGUGGUGGCAGGAUGUUGUCAGACAGGCGCCCCUCCAGCCCCUUUAGUACCGGUUCUUGGCACGAACCGGUACUAAAGGUCGUACUAUAUAAACCCAUCGUCCACCAGCACUCUGUUCUUCCCCCUUUCCCCUCUCGCUCUCCUCUGUUCUUCCCUUCUUCCUCUCGAGUUCAUCACAAAAUUUGCCCAAAAUUUGUCAAGAUUUGAAGGCCCUCAUCCAUUCAAAUGAUCACAAAGGUUAGCAACUUUGUCCUUUCAUAUCUCAUUGCUAGAUUAGCUCUUGCAUUGGUUUAUAUAGUGAGUAAUUAGUGAGUUUAGUAAUUUGGGAGGAUAUAUAUAUAUAUGUGCUAGUAUUUGAUUUAUAUGCAAUUUGAGGUCAAAAAUAACACUUAAUUUGCAUAUGUAGGUGUGGUUUACUUAGUGCCUUCUAAAUCUCCAUCGUAGCCACCGUCGAUCGCCCGCACCGUCCCGUCGCCGGCACCACCUUGUGGUGAGCCUCUUGUUCAUGAAAUUUUACAUAAAAAUUGAUGUUUGUGUGAUUUGGAUAUAUAGUUACUCGUAUAAUUAUCUUACCUGUACGUUGUUUGUUAUACAUAUAGUGCCAUGGUUUUGAUAUCCGUCCCCGUCGGCCCUAGUCCUUGUUAUGAUUCGGAUGUGGUAUGUAUAUUCUCUUUUAAAACUAGUUGCAUUUCGUGUUUAUGACAAAUUAUGCCCAUCAAGUUGACAUAGAAAUUUUUUCUAGGAGGUAUCUGAACCUGAAAUUCCAACCGACCCUAUUGCCAAGAGGUUAAAUUUAGUUGAAAGAGAAAACGAGUACUUGAAAGAAAAAUUGAAAAGAAUUGAGGGGGAGAAGAUGGAAUUGGAGUUGCAUGUUGCCGAUGUCGUCGAUGAUCACAAGAUCAAGAUGGAGAAAAUGCGCUUGAAGAUUAGAAAGAUUAGAAAAUAUGCCAUCGAUAGUGAGGCUUGGUAUCAUUAUGCUGUUGGAUCCAUUGUUACCUUAGUUGCGAUCUUGAUCGUAUUUGUUGUUGCAUUUAAAUGCUUUAGCUAGAGAGUUAUUUGUUUGUUGCAUUUAAGUGUUGUAUGAACUUUAUGUAUGAACUUGUAUUAAUUUGGUCUAUUUGGUGUUGUGUAAUGAAGAUGAGCCGGCAAUGGAUGUACGAUGACCGAUGCUCUCCCCAGUUCGUUGAGGGCGUGCGUACUUUUCUGCUUGCGGCUGAGGCAAACAAGCGGGCGGAUGGUUUUAUGCCUUGUCCAUGUGCUCGCUAUAAGAACGGUCACAAUUACUCUACGUCAAGAACCAUUCACGUCCACCUGUUUAAGACCGGUUUCAUGCCCCAUUAUAAUGUUUGGACCAAGCACGGAGAAAGAGGGGUUAUGAUGGAAGACAAUGAAGAAGAAGAGGACGACGACAGCUAUCCUGGCCAUGGGUUCCCUGAAUACGAUGAUACAACAAUGGGGGAAGAAGCUGAGCCGGUAAUGCGGGAAGAAGCUGAGCCGGCAAUGCGGGAAGAAGCUGAAGAAGAGGCAUCAGAUGAGCCCGUUGAUGAUCUAGGUCGGGCCAUUGCCGAUGCAAAGAGAAACUGCGCAAGUGAUUUGGAGAAGAAGAAGUUGCAGCGCAUGUUAGAGGAUCACAAAAAAUUGUUGUACCCGAAUUGCGUAGGUGACAAGAAAAAGCUGGGCACCACACUGGAAUUGCUGCAAUGGAAGGUAGAGACUGGUGUAUCUGACAAGGGAUUUGGAAAGUUGCUGGUAAUGAUAAAGGAUAUGCUUCCAAAGGACAACGAAUUGCCCGAGAGUAUGUACGAAGCAAAGAAGGUUGUCUGCCCUCUAGGGUUAGAGGUGCAGAAGAUACAUGCAUGCCCUAAUGAUUGCAUCCUCUACCGCGGUGAGUACGAGGAUUUGAACGCUUGCCCGGUAUGUGGUGCAUUGCGCUAUAAGAUCUGCCGCGAUGACCCUGGUGAUGUCGAGAGCCGGCGCCCCAGGAAGAAGAUUCCUGCCAAGGUGAUGUGGUAUGCUCCUAUAAUACCACGGUUGAAACGUUUGUUCCAAAUCAAAGAGCAUGCCAAGGCGAUGCGAUGGCACAGAGAAGACCGUAAGAAAGACGGAAAGUUGAGAGUACCCGCUGACGGGUCGCAGUGGAGAAAAAUCGAAAGAAAGUACGGGAAGGAGUUUGCAGAUGACGCAAGGAGCGUAUGGUUUGGUCUAAGAGCAGAUGGCAUUAAUCCUUUUGGGGAGCAGAGCAGCAACCAUAGCACCUGGCCUGUGACUCUAUGUUUGUAUAACCUUCCUCCUUGGUUGUGCAUGAAGCGGAAGUUCAUUAUGAUGCCAGUGCUCAUCCAAGGCCCUAAGCAACCUGGCAACGACAUUGAUGUGUACCUAAGGCGAUUAGUUGAAGAACUCUUACAACUGUGGAAUGGAACAGGUGUACGUGCGUGGGAUGAGCACAUGGGGGAAGAAUUUGACCUGAAGGCGUUGUUGUUCGUGACCAUCAAUGAUUGGCCUGCCCUCAGUAACCUUUCAGGACAGACAAACAAGGGAUACCGCGCAUGCACGCACUGUUUGGACGAUACCGACAGUAUAUAUUUGGCUAAUUGUAAGAAGAAUGUGUACCUGGGACAUCGUCGAUUUCUUCCGAGCAGGCAUCCCGUAAGAAAGAAAGGCAAGCAUUUCAAAGGUGAGGCAGAUCACCGGACGAAGCCUGGCCACCGUACUGGUGCUGAUGUAGAUGAUAUGGUCAAGGAUUUGAAGGUGGUCUUUGAAAAGGGUCCUGGUGGACAACCUGUUCCGAAUGACGCUGACGGACGCGCACCCAUGUGGAAGAAGAAAUCUAUAUUUUGGGACCUGCCCUAUUGGAAAUACCUCGAGGUCCGCUCCGCAAUCGACGUGAUGCACGUGACGAAGAAUCUUUGUGUGACCCUGCUUGGCUUCUUGGGCGUGUAUGGGAAGACAAAAGAUACACCUGAGGCACGGGAGGACCAGCAACGUAUGCACGGAAAAGACGGCAUACAUCAGGGUCAUGCAAGCUACGCUCUUACCAAAGAAGAGAAGGAAAUCUUCUUUGAAUGCCUGCUCAGUAUUAAAGUACCGUCUGGCUUCUCGUCGAAUAUAAAGGGAAUAAUAAACAUGGCAGAGAAAAAGUUCCAGAACCUAAAGUCUCAUGACUGCCACGUGAUUAUGACGCAACUGCUUCCGGUUGCAUUGAGGGGGCUUCUACCGAAAAAUGUUCGAUUAGCCAUUGUGAAGCUAUGUGCAUUUCUCAACGCAAUCUCUCAGAAGGUAAUCAAUCCAGAAAUCAUACCAAGGUUACAGAAUGAUUUGGUGCAAUGUCUUGUCAGUUUCGAGUUGGUGUUCCCACCAUCCUUCUUCAACAUCAUGACACACGUCCUAGUUCACCUAUGCGAAGAGAUUAACGUUUUGGGUCCUGUAUUUCUACACAAUAUGUUCCCCUUUGAGAGGUUCAUGGGAGUCUUAAAGAAAUAUGUUCAUAACCGUGCUAGGCCAGAAGGAAGCAUCUCCAAGGGCCGUCAAAAUGAGGAGGUCAUUGAGUUUUGUAUUGACUUUAUUCCUGACCUUAAGCCGAUUGGUGUUCCUGAAUCGCGGCAUAAGGGCAGACUGGAUGGAAAAGGCACGCUAGGAGGGGAACAAAUAAUAUAUAUGGACGGACAUUCUCUCACUGAAGCACACUACACAGUUAUACAGAAUUCCGCCUUGGUGGCUCCGUAUAUGGAUGAACACAAGAAUUUGCUACGCUCCAAACACCCGGAGCGGUCUGAUGACUGGAUUACACGUGAACAAACCAGGAGUUUCGCGAGCUGGUUGCAAGCACGUACCAUGCAUGACACCUCUAUUGAAGAUGACAUGUACUUGCUGUCCCAGUUACCAUCUUCGAAUAUAAUGACUUUCAAAGGGUACGAGAUAAAUGGUAAUACAUUUUACACGAUCGCCCAAGAUAAGAAGAGCACCAACCAAAACAGCGGUGUCCGCUUUGAUGCAGAAACCAAGACGGGAAAGGAAACAUAUUAUGGUUAUAUACAGGAUAUAUGGGAACUUGACUAUCGACGUGGUUUGAAGGUCCCUUUGUUUCGGUGCAAAUGGGUCAAUAUGACACGAGGGGGGUAAUGGAGGACCCGCAGUACGGAAUGACAACAGUGGAUCUCAACAAUCUUGCAUAUGCAGACGAACCAUUCGUCCUAGCCAAUGAUGUGGCACAGGUUUUCUAUGUGAAGGACAUGUCUACCAAGCCAAGAAAAAGAAAAGAUAAGGAAGCGAAUGCAUCAUACGAUGAGUCAAAGCGGCACAUAGUUCUUUCUGGGAAGAGAAACAUCGUGGGAGUGGAUGACAAGACAGACAAGUCAGAAGAUUAUGAAAAGUUUGAUGAAAUUGCUCCAUUCACAGUGAAUAUUGACCCGAGCAUCCCGUUAAAUGAUGAAGAUUUUCCAUGGCUACGACGCAAAGGGACACACGCGAAGAAAAAGUUUCACACCCAAAGAUCUGGGAUGUGAUCGGCUUAGCUAUCAUCACUUUCUUCUGUGUUUCACACCCAGGAGGGAAUCUCUGUAAUAGUUAGGGUAGCUAGUUAUGUGUUUUGGCAUUUGAAACGCGAAGAAAUUUUAUGUGCAAGCAAAUUCUUUCAUGCAUUUAUUGAUUUUUUCAGCUAAAUGACCCUGAAAUUGAAAAGCAUUUCAAAUGAACUUAGAAAAGGAUGAAAGUUGGCAUGGUAUCAUAAUUUCACCCACAUAGCAUGUGCAAAAAAGUAGAGAGGGUUACCGCAAAAACUGGAUGCACUUCGUGUACAAAAUGGACAAUCUGUUUCGAAGUAUCAGGGUUUCGGACGAAAACUCAUCCGUUACAAAGGCAUUUCAUUUUUAAAUAACUUAAGCAUUACCAAAUUGAAUAUAAUGAUAAAACACACUAAUAUUAAACAUAAGAAAAAAGAAUCAAUGGAAAAUGUAUUUUUAAAGUUAAGUUAUUCACAAACUAGUGAUUCACACAAAUUUCAAAUAAUUCAAAAUUUAAACUAUUCAAAUUUAAAAACUACCGGCACUAACUGAAAGUUUCUAAAAACUAUCAAAAAUAUUCACGAAGAAACUCUAAAUACAGCAAAAAACAACUAAAAAUAAAUAAAACAAAAUAAAUAAAGCAGAAAAGAAAAAACUAAAUGAAAAAAGCCCCCCUACCGGGCCACAGUGGCCUGCAUACGACUAGAAACCCAACCUGUUGUUGGGCCAGGAUGCAGGCCCGCAAGCCCAAUAGGCCCCACAGGGCAGAGUAGCAGAGGUAGGCCCAGAAGGCCUGCUUUAGAGAGGAGCUCGAGACAACAACGGUGGCGGGGCUUAUAAGCAGGUGUGAGCGCCCUUCGGCUAGCGAGGUGGGACUAAACUUCUGCGCCCCUCGCCUGGCAGCGCACCCCCUUUAGUACCGGGUCGUGGCACCAACCGGUACUAAAGGGGGGGCCUUUAGUAACGGUUGGAGCAAGGAACCGGUACUAAAGGGGGGUGCUCCCCCCGCUUGGCCUGGCCAAAAUAGGCCUUUAGUACCGGUUGGUGGCUCCAACCGGUACUAAAGGUGUCCCCUAUAUAAGAAGCACUUCGAAAAUUUUCAGUUUCUCAUCUCCCACUUCUCUCUGCCGCCGCCCCCGUCGCGCUGUCGCCGCCCCCGUCGCCAUCCCCGUCGACUUCGCGACGCCCCCGUCCUCGUCGCAUCGUCCCCGUCGACUCCGCGGCACCCCCGUCGCCGUCCCGGUCGCCGAUCCCCUCGCUUCGCCGUCGCCGUCGCCUUUGGAUCGACCUCGCCCUCGCCCUCGCCGUCGCCUCGACCUUGCCCGCGCGCGCUGUGAGCCCCUCCCCCGGCCCCUCUCCUCCCUCCAAUCCAUCGUAGCGCACACCGGCGCCGGCGCCGGCGCCGACCAUAGCGCACACACACGCGCGCGCGCACACACACACUACAUGCACACACACACACACACACACAAACACACUACACACACGCUAGACGCGCACACACACACAAUUUUUCUGUUUUUAGCUUUUAGUUUUUUCUGUUUUUCUGUUUUUCAUACAAAGUUUUAGAUGAAUUAAUUAAUUAGAUUAGAUUAAUGUCAAAUAGUAUGUAGAAAUGUUAGUUAUAAUAUAUAUAAUGUAAAAUGUUAUAGAAAUGUUAGUUAUAUAGAAAUGUUAGAAAUUUUGGAAAUGUUAGUUUUAGCUAGCUAGAUGAAUUAGAUUAAUUUCAAAUUGUUAGAUGAUGAUCGAUGUUUUUUUUAGUUUCUUAUAUUUUUAGUUAUAAAAUUUAGAAUUUGCAUAUAUGAAAUCAUCACAAUCCAUCAUUUAAAAAAUGUUACUUUACUUUUGCGGCAUAUAGUAUUUUGUUGUCGACGAUGCCUGGCCCGCAUCCUCGUCGUCGACACAUCCGUGACGACGUCCUGCUUCUGAGGACCCAUGUCCGGGACUGGGCUCUGCCGGGCUGGCACUGGGAGGUGCUACCUUCAGGGGCGCGACGCUUGGUGAGGAACCCGACCCCGGGUCCCGUCGUCGACCCUCAUCUCCUUUGGUGGCAUUCACGUGGGCCACUUUCGGUGCGGAGGGAGCCGGUCCCGCCGGAGGUGGUACGUCGCCGUGUCAGGGAGGAGGACGAGCACGUCCAUCGCUACAUGGCUGCUAGGACGUCAGGUUCUCCAAUACCUGGCAGGUUCUUUGGGGAGAUCACCCGAGCUAUGAUCCAGUGAUGGUUCCUUCUCUUUGGGUGUCCACCGCCCGCACGUCAGGAACCGCGAGUGGCCUAGAUUACUCUGUACUAUUCGAUCUUCAUUAGCUUGCUAGCUAGCUAGCUAGUGAUGUAUUCAAUAUUAUAUCUAUUAUUCGAGAUGAUGUAUUCGAGAUUAUAUCUAUUAUUCGAGACGAUGUAUUCGAGAUUAUAUCUAUUAUUCGAGAUUAUACUAAAUUGUUUUAUAUUUAUUUUGGCAUAGUUAAAUAAAAGCUAUGGCGGACAAUACCGACAGAGACAGAGAACAGACCAUGCUCGAUAUCAUACGCGGUCCAGAUGAUGAUCAGAAUGAAGAAGAUUUUGACGGCUCCGAAUUUCUAAACAACACCGGAGAGGGUGAUAUGAUAUUCGAUUGCGACGACCGAGAAGAUGAAGUCAUGAACUACGACGAACAACAUGUUGAUCCUGAAACAACAAACACCGACGAGGUAUAUAUAUUUAUAUAAGCAGGAAUCUGGUGACCAUCGCAUGUUUUAAAUGAGUUGAAGAUAUAUUAACGAAUCGAUCUUUCUUCUUUCAGCCAUCCGGAUCGAGCAAAUCUUCAGGCAAAAGGACGAAACAAGGCCCGAACAAAAAGUUGAAGGAGGGCGUAAAGUAAAAUAUCGAGGCAAUCAGACCUAAUGGCGAACCAUUAGCGCCUAAGAAGAUUGCGGACAAGUUCGUUCGUCAGUGCGGAGUUCUUGUGAAGGACCAACUCCCGAUCUCCCUUCAAGAAUGGAGAAAGCCAGUAAAUCCACGUCUAAAUGUUACUUUUGUCGACGAGAAUCAAAAAAAUCUGCUUUGGGAUACUCUCAUGGAACAUUUCACCCUACCAGAUAAUUUCACAGAAGCAGACGUGCGGAAAGUCAAGGACGCUGCUUUUAGGAAGAUGGCGGUUGCAUUCAAGAAUCACAAGAGAAUGACAUGGUAGAAGUACGUCAAGGGAGGAAGGAAGACUCCAGUAUUCGAGGGGAUACUAGAGAAUCAAAAUGCUCAUUGGGACGAUUUCGUGAAAUUCAAGGAUUCAGAAAUAGCUAAGGAACGGUCGAGAAUAAACAAGAAGAAUGCCGAAAAAAGGAUAAGUUCCAUAAGCUGGGGCCAGGUGGCUACGCGGUGGCAAUGCGUAAGUGGGAUAAGUCUGAGAAAGAGAUGGAGGAUGCAGGUGUCACUCCGGUUAGUAAGAGCUGGCCCCCCAGGUGCAGGACUUGGUUCUAUGCGCAUGGGGGGGAGUUGGACCCGAAGACAGGCAAUGUUUCGACGAAGGCAUGUCUGAACGGAGCCGACGAUGCGCUACUUGUUGCAAUAGAAGAGGCUCGAUCGGGGGUGUUCCAGCCCAACAAAGAGAACGACGAGCUUACGCGUGCCCUGGGAAAUCCUGAACACCCGGGAAGAACACGAGGCAAGGGCGCUAUUCCGUGGUAUGAGGGGUUUUCGUACUGGAACGCCGACUACAGAACCCGUGCGAGAAAGAAGAUUGCGGAGGAGAAGAAGAGGAAGAUGGAGGAGGAGCAAAGGAAGCUCGACUAUGAACGCCUUCAAGGCCUAGAAGCAAGUCAAGCGGAAUUGGCAGCUAAAUUCCAGCGGCAGCAGGAGCAGAUCGACUCACUUAGCCAGCAAAGGGGGUCUCAGCAGCUGCAGCAGCUAGCGGAUGAUCCAGCAUUGGAUACCACCGCCCCAUCCAUGCCGAGAAGCAGCGUGGGUUCCGCCCCGGGCGACGCAGUAGUGCUGGAUAGAUACCCCGUGGAUGACAUCACGGAGAACACUAACUGCGAGAUACACUUCAAAAUGAAGAACAUAUCCAUGAAGGUGGCGGACGCCGUUGCUUUUUCAAAUUCCCCCGAGGCAACCUUCCAUUGCAACCCGAUUCCAGCAGGCUAUGCUCGUGUCUUGGUUGAUGAGGUGGUGGACCAAUAUUCGGGGCUAGAGCUUGACAUUCCUGGAGGUGAUGAGGAGCACACACUCGGAGAUGCCAAACAUCGUAUCAUCUUAUGGAGAAAGGAUUGCAUCAUUUUUCGAAGGCCACCAACACUGCGUCACCCGACUCCUCGUCGAAGUCCGCCACCGAGUCAGCAGACUCCCGCUCCUCCAAGUCCACCAACGCGUGAGGCCACUCCUCCUCCUCCAAGUUCGGCAAAGUGUCAAGCCACUCCUCCUCCAAGUCCGACACAGCGUCAGACGUCCACUCCUCCUCCAAGUCCGGCACAACCUUAGGCCACUCCUCCUCCAAGUCCGGCACAGCUUCAGGCCACUCCUCGUCCAACUCAGCCCCGUCAGCCGUCUCCACCGCGUCAGCAAUCGCAGAAGAGACACCCCGCAGCUAUGGUGCGUAGCGGUACCAGUCGAGGUCAUAGUACAGGAAGUACAUGCGGAGGCAAGCGAUAUAAAUAUGGUCCAAACCUCACUACUCCUCUUCCUGUGAGGGCUUACGACAGGACCGAGGAGCAAACCAAUGCCAUAGUGCAGGCAGAAGUCGACGCCCAUUUUGGACCGAAACUGCCACCGCCGCCAAGGGAGAAAGUGCCUGUGGAAGUAGUUGACCACUUCAUUCGUAUGGCUCACCAACCAGCUCCUAAGCCUGUUGACACAGACUAUGAGCGCCACAUCAGGAAGUUACAUCGACAACGUCUACAGAAGGAGGCGAGCUCGAGCUCGAGCAAACAACAAGUAGCUGUCGAAAAAUGCGGGAAAACCAUUGCCCAGCUGGGAGAACAGGCGGCGCAAUNNNNNNNNNNNNNNNNNNNNNNNNNNNNNNNNNNNNNNNNNNNNNNNNNNNNNNNNNNNNNNNNNNNNNNNNNNNNNNNNNNNNNNNNNNNNNNNNNNNNNNNNNNNNNNNNNNNNNNNNNNNNNNNNNNNNNNNNNNNNNNNNNNNNNNNNNNNNNNNNNNNNNNNNNNNNNNNNNNNNNNNNNNNNNNNNNNNNNNNNNNNNNNNNUAUUGUGGCCAAACAGUUUACGUUCCCGAGGUGGGCGAUGUGGUAAUAACCCAGGAGCAUAUAAUGCAGGCUGAAGAACUCAAGAUCACUGUUGGACAACUCCUCGAGAUCGAGGACAUGCCUGUGAUUACACAGGAGGAUAUAAAACGGAAAUAUGUCCGGGGCCAACCUUUGGUCAAGCCAGAAGAUGUCAAGAAGCUCCCAACGAGAAUGUAUGAAUUGCAUCAAUGGUACAUGGACAUUACCAAGAGAUCCGAUCGAGAGUCCCUCAUGGUGUAUGUCAAGAAGGAUAAUUACUACCAUGAGAAAGCUGUGGCCGUUGAGUAUUCUGAACUGUUUCGGUUAUACAAUCAAGACGCACUUGACAAAUCUAUCGUCAGUUGCUAUUGUCUGUAAGUGAUUUCUUUCUGUAAUUUAAGUCUCAAGCUAGCUGUAGUGAUCCUUUUGAUCAAUCAUUACCUGUAAUUAUCCUCACUAUAUUCUUUUCUGUGGUAUUAUGCAGGAUGAAGAUGUAUGAAAUGAGAAAAGGUGGACGCUAUGGCAUUGGGUUCAUUGACCCAAACACCGUUAAUCAAUACACAUGGAAAAUGAGCAAGUAUUAUGAAAAGCAGGUAGAGGACAGCAUGCUAGAGUUCUUGAAGUGCCUCGAAUACAACGAAGAUAUACUACUUCCUUACAACUUCGAGUGAGUCACACUUUCUUGUACUACAAAUUCUCUAUUUUUGCCUACUAGCUAGCUACAUGUUUUUGCUUACAUAUGCCCGCUUAAUUAAGACAUGCAAACGUGUGUGCAUGCAGAUUUCACUGGAUCUUGUGUAUCAUUAAAGUUGACGCCGGAACAGUUGAAAUACUGGACUCGCUACUCAAAGAAAAUAGUGACUACAACAUCUUGUAUGGGAUAGUCAACAGGUAAUUUCAAUCAUUAUUAACUAUAUAUCUCGGCCUAUUUAGUUCGUCAUUUCAUGAUAUGAACUAUUUAAUAACCCCUUUAUUCAUUUUCUUUGUCGGCGGGCAGGGCUUGGGCAAGGUUCAUCAGCGUCACGGAAGGCGAAUGGAAACCACAGCUGAAAUGGUUUCGAUCCAAGGUAAGUAAUUAAGUAGUACUAGCUAGCUAGCUGCCAUCUCUUUAAUUAUCAUGCUUGAUUAAUUAUUAUCUGAUCAAAUUAAAUUCCAUUCUCGUAAUAAAGGCCCUGAAGCAGGCGCAGGGGACUAAUCUAUGUGCAUACUGCGUUUGCGAGAACAUUCGCAUGAUGGCGUCCGAAAGGAGCAGAUCUCAAAGACAGGAAUGGGUACGCUUGUCAGAACACUAUUCACAAUUUUUACACCAUUAUCGAUAUCUAGUCACACAACUAAUACACAUGCAUAUUGAUCUCCUUCUUAACAGUUCAAAGAGGUGCGGGACAAGCUCCUAGAAACGGAGCGCGUAGAAGCACUUCAAGAGGAAAUAGCGGGAUUUUUGCUCGACCAGGUCAUAAAUCCGAAGGGAGAAUACUAUUACCCGCUACCGCCCCCAUCGAACAUGUCAUGAACCACUUCCAAUUGUCAUCGUGCUCCGAAGGCACCAAUUAGGCUAAUGCCACUGGCUCCGAAGGCAACAUGCAUAUAUAGGAAAAAUUGUAUAUGGCUAUACAUGUGUGUAUGUGUAAAUUAAUAUGGUGGUUUGUGAGACAUUGAUGAUAUAUAUAUAUGAUUGGNNNNNNNNNNNNNNNNNNNNNNNNNNNNNNNNNNNNNNNNNNNNNNNNNNNNNNNNNNNNNNNNNNNNNNNNNNNNNNNNNNNNNNNNNNNNNNNNNNNNNNNNNNNNNNNNNNNNNNNNNNNNNNNNNNNNNNNNNNNNNNNNNNNNNNNNNNNNNNNNNNNNNNNNNNNNNNNNNNNNNNNNNNNNNNNNNNNNNNNNNNNNNNNNNNNNNNNNNNNNNNNNNNNNNNNNNNNNNNNNNNNNNNNNNNNNNNNNNNNNNNNNNNNNNNNNNNNNNNNNNNNNNNNNNNNNNNNNNNNNNNNNNNNNNNNNNNNNNNNNNNNNNNNNNNNNNNNNNNNNNNNNNNNNNNNNNNNNNNNNNNNNNNGCUGCCCAUUGAGCCGUAACUAGAUUAGGAAAAAAGUAACUGCAUGUGCACCCCUCCGCAGAUCCACCCCACCCCACGUGGUUCCACACUUUCUUUUGAUCGUAAGUGGCAAGCCACAUGUAGUAAUUUGCAUUUUAUGUGUUACUACAGCCUGAAACUUUUCAACUUUACAGUGAUCAGCCAUGUGAAAAAUCGCUCAAUUACUUUAGCAAAUACUCUCGCUUUACCAUUGGAGAACUCUUAUUACUACUAAUUCUCAAUACAUUUACUAGGACAAUUGUCCACACAGUAACGGUUAUGAUGGUUGAUUACUAUAUUCCAUAGUUUUUUACGAGCCAUGGAAAUGGAAGCGGACACUAAUAAAACAAGAUCGGGCAGCAGUAACAUAAUAAAUUCUUUUACUAUGUUUCCUAUUGUUCAUUACUAUGUCAUAUGUGCGCGGGAUCGUGAACGAGUGGGAGGCAAUAGUAAUGAAAUUAAUAUCGUUACUAGGUUUCCCAUUAAUAUAUAUGCAUAACGUGUACAAUGUGUAGUACCGUAAAAUACCAGCAAACAAAAAAGAAUUAAAAUGGAAAACACAAAAUUAAAUGAAAAAGAAAUCAUAAAACCAAAAAAACCCCAAACAUUUUAGUACCGGUUGGUGUUACCAACCAGUACUAAAGGGCUCCCGGCCCCCGGAGCUGGCUCGUGCCACGUGGUUGCCCUUUAGCACCGGUUCGUGUUGAACCGGUACUAAAGGGGGGGGCCUUUAGUGCCGAAAUGUUAGUGCCGGUUCCGAAAUCGGCACUAAAGGGCCUUACGAACCGGUGCUAAUGGCCCGUUUUCUACUAGUGAUACCUCCUAGAUAAAAAUAUCUAUGUCAACUUUAUGGGCAUAAUUGUUAUAAACACGAAAUGCAACAAAUAGUUACAAAAGAGAGUAUACACCACAUUCGAAUCAUAAACCAGACGAGGGCCGAUGGGGACGGAUAUCAAAAUCAUGCCACUAUGUGUAACAAACAACCAUACAGGUAAGAAAAUUAUACAAAUAACUAUCUAAAUCACACAAACAUGAACUUUUUUAUAAAAAUGAUAAGAAUAAGAGGCUCACCAAAGGUGGUGCCGGUGACGGGAUGGUGCGGGCAAUCGACGGUGGUUAGGACAGGGACAGCAAGGCACUAAGUAAACAACACCUACACAUGCAAACUAUGAAGUAAAUUUGAGCUCAAUUUGUAUAUAAAUCAAACAAACUCCCACAUAUAAUUACUCCCAAACUAAAACCCACAAAUCACUAUACUUAUAGAGCAUUUCAAGAGCUAAUCUACAAUGAGAGAUGAAAGGACAAAGUUUCUAACCUUUGUGAACACUUGGAUGGAUGGGGUGCUUUCAAAUCUUGACAAAUUCUGGCAAAAAUGAAGGAUGGGCUUGAGCAAGAGGGGAAGAAUAGAGAGGAGAGGAAAGGGGAAAAUGGGCUCGGGCUGGAUGAAGGGUUUAUAUAGGGAUGUCUUUUGUCCCAGUUGGUUAUACAAACCGGGACUAAAGAGGCCCAGCCUGACGCUAGCCUACCACCACCCCUUUAGUCCUGGUUUGUGACACAAACCGGGACUAGAGGUACACCACGAACCGGGACUAAUGAUGACCGCGCCGUAGACGUUGGAACAGGGACUAAUGGUCAUAUUAGUACCGGGCCGUAAACGAAUCGGGACUAAUGAGGUGAACGUAAGGUCGGUUUUCUACUAAUGCCCCGACUCUUCCCCAAGACCUCAAUCACCAGCACAACCCUAUUUGAAUUUUGAAAUAACAAAAGCAGGAUAUAUGUUGUUGUUAUAUAUUGAUGUAGUAUUGUCCAGCUCCCACCGUCCCAAAAUAAGUGACUCGACUUUGUAUUAAAGUUAGUGCAAAGUUGAGUCACUUAUUUUGAGACGGAGGAAGUAUUUAAAGUCUUAAAGCACACACCGUUGAUUGUUUCCAUUUUUACCUUAUUAGUGCUUGAAAAGGGUAGGACUUUGGAGAUAAAAUCGAUUAAUCAUCCGAUUUCCGAUUAAUGUCUAUAAUAUCCCAAACAUUGAUUACCACGGAUAUUUUUUCUUAUUAUAAACACAAGAAAUACAUUGCACUACGAGAAACAUGAAACAGAUACAUGAUACAAACGAAUAUCCCACAUUAGUGCUCAUAUAAAUCAAGCAUAAACAAAUAGGAUAUGUAACAAUUAGUGUGUGGAAAUAAAUGCUAGAUACGCGGAGCCUAUCCAAGACUUUUGUGUGUUAUUUAAUGUGAACAUUAAUUUAAAGAUACGCAUAAAUGCAACAAGGAAUCGAUAUCCACAACUUGGUGGUGGCCCUAUAUAAAUACCAGCAAUGGAGCUUGGCAGCGUGGAUCCCAUAUAGGGGAAGGAAGAAGCAGGGCAAGUAGAAGUACUCUCUCCUUGUAGUAUGGCAAUCCUCAAUAGCUAUACAAGGACGAUUGUCUACACCAUGGCGGUUGCUCUCUUGGUCGUCAUGAUGAUGUCCUCUUCGCUGCCAUCUUGUCAUGGAACUGAUGAAGGUAUGCAACAAUGUCCUUGUUUUACUCUACGAUUUCCAAACAUGGAAAAACAAAAAUCUAGCUAGCUAUACUCUUGUUUUAUCUUUGUAUACAAGCUAAACUGAAUUGCUGAUGCCGCAAUGUAAUUCAUUUGUAGAGGAGGGUUGGGAGUGCCGUCAAUUGCUGCACUGCACUGCUCAAGGGUGCCUCUCUUAUUGCAAAGUUUUAAAACAUGGUGGAGGUCACGCUUACAGUAUCAUGUCCAAAUGCCGUCACAACAGAACAGAGUGCUGCUGCCGAGACUACAAUCAGCCGCCGCCGCCAAGAGAUCUCGUGCUUGUGCAAAACAAUGCUGGUGCAUGAAAUCAUUGCAUCUUUUGAUGAACCUGCAGUCGGAGCAUUAAUUGAUCUAUCCGAUAAAAAUCAAAUGAACUUGUUUUAUCUUCAUACAUACUCCAAGCAAACAAACGUUGUACUUUGAACAACCAUGGUCUGUUCGACACCUGAUUAACAAUACUUUCGUAGAACUUCCUCGUAUGAAGUUAUUAGGCCUA
rnacentral:lncRNA from 1 species